rnacentral:rRNA from 1 species
UUUCUCAAAGAAAUAAUUUUAAGUAAGCCCUGCUCAAUGUAUUAUAAAUAGCCGCAGAUAUACUGUGCUAAGGUAGCAUAAUCAUUUGUUUCUUAAUUAGGGACUAGAAUGAAAGGGUAAACAUUUACUUUCUUUAUUAAAAUUAUUAAUAAAAAUUUUAUUAAAUAUAAAAAUAUAUUUAUAUAUAAGAUAGACGACAAGACCCUGUCGAACUUUACUAAAGUUUAGCUGGGGCAGCUGAUUAAUAAAUAUUUUAAUUUCCACUUCAUAAAAACCUAAUAAAAUUAAAUUUUAAACAAGUUACCGCAGGGAUAACAGCGUAAUAUAUUUCUAAAGUUCUUAUUUAAAAAAAAGUUUGCGACCUCGAUGUUGAAUUAUCUUACUUUUAAAAGCAAAAAUUUUAAAAGUAGGUCUGUUCGACCUUUAAUAAUUUACA